rnacentral:piRNA from 1 species
UCCUCUACCUUGCCGCACAGCACCC